UACGAAGGGUGCAAGCGUUACUCGGAAUUACUGGGCGUAAAGCGUGCGCAGGCGGUUCGGAAAGAAAGAUGUGAAAUCCCAGAGCUUAACUUUGGAACUGCAUUUUUAACUACCGAGCUAGAGUGUGUCAGAGGGAGGUGGAAUUCCGCGUGUAGCAGUGAAAUGCGUAGAUAUGCGGAGGAACACCGAUGGCGAAGGCAGCCUCCUGGGAUAACACUGACGCUCAUGCACGAAAGCGUGGGGAGCAAACAGG
rnacentral:rRNA from 1 species